CACGCUGGCAGCUACCCUGGCCUAGAUAACGCGGCCGAGAUCUGACUGCUGAACUGUUUAACAACAGCCAUGUUCCAGCCCAGCUGAGGUCUGGCCCCUCACCCCAUGGGGAGUCCCACUCUCAGAGUCCUGCUGCUCCUCACCGCCUUCCUGCUGGAUCUCCCGCCUGCUGCGCUCCAGACCCACCAGCCGUGUCCCUGCGGAGAAGUCCUCACCAACUUCGAUUGCAGUAUUAAUGGAAACGGAGAUCGACUCAGCCCCUGUUCCCAAUGCCAGCACAAGCUGCGAGAAAGCCCGUCUCAGCUAUUGCCAGCCCUUCUCCUAAGCACUGUUCAGUGUUGCAAGCACGAAAAGCAAACCUGUCUGCAGGUCUAUGUGGCUCUGAACUCUACAGGUAUUGAAGGCUUCGAACUGGAUUUUCUCGUUCCAAGUUCUAACCGUUACAAGCUUCAGGUCUUGAAAACACAGGCACAUCAGAACAAUACUACAGCUAAGUGGCAGAUGCAGUUUGACGGCUUCCAGGUGGCCAGUGGCGAGCAGGUACAUGUCUCAGUGAAGACCAUUCCUCCCAGGAAGCUAAACCUCAGCCAGAGCUAUACAGUCACUAAUAACCAACCAGGUAAGACACCUUUACUGGGCACAUACACCAUGCUUGCAUCACCUCAUGUCAAAGGAUCUUCAAAUAUAUAUUUAGAGAAACCCCAAAAGUACUUCUGCCGGACAUCAAAAACCUCUGCCUAGAGCCGUGAUGGCGAACCUGUGGCACGCGUGCCACAGGUGGUAUGCAGAGCCAUUUGUGCGGGCACACGAGCCCUAGCCAAACUUACCUGCAUUGCGCAUACGCACGCCUCCCAG
rnacentral:lncRNA from 1 species